UACAGAACUAUUCGCCCAAAAGACGUGUACACUACCAAAGUCUAAGUUUUGUACCCGAAAAAUGAGCAUUACUGAAAACUACGCCUUUGUCAAGAUACCCAAACCUUUCCUCUGUGACGCUAAAACUGAAGGGGGAGGGUGGAUCGUUAUACAGAGACGGGUCCAUAAAGACACCAGCUUCCAAAGAAACUGGGAAGACUACAAGAACGGCUUCGGAUCUCCUUGUACUGAAGACUACUGGCUGGGUAAUGAGAGACUUUAUCAGUUGACUU
rnacentral:sRNA from 1 species